rnacentral:rRNA from 1 species
CUUAAAUGGGUUGCUGAGCUCUUGAAUGUUGAUGGGUCAUGGAACGUUGCACUCAUCAGGCAGUACUUCCGCCCUGUUGAUGUCACUGAAAUCCUCAAGAUCAAACCAUCCCGGCGUCUGGAGGCUGACACUGUAGCCUGGCACCCAGAUAAGCAUGGUCGGUUCUCAGUGCGCUCUGCAUAUAACAUGGCAAGGGAGGCGAUUAUGGCCAAGGACGGCAGCGGCGAAUCUAGUGCUAGGCCUAACGGCGCUAGACCUGGCUGGAAGAUGCUAUGGAACUGUGGAGCACCACCCAAGGUAUGUGUUUUCGCCUGGAAAGCUGCUCGAGAAGCGCUAGCAACCCGUGUGAACAAACGACGACGGCACUUGGAGCUGGAGGGAACUUGUGUGAUCUGUGGUCAGGAGGCCGAGACUACCCACCGUGCUCUGACCCGAUGCCCUCACGCCCGGAACCUUUGGUCUGCGAUGCGCAUGGUUUGGGAUCUACCGCCGGAUGAUGCUCUCCGCCGGGAUGAACCUGACUGGCUCUUGCUACUCUUACAACGCCUGAACGAGACUCAGCGCAUGCUCCUCCUCAUGUUACUUUGGCGAGUGUGGCAUGUCAGGAAUGAAAUUACGCAUGAUAAACCACUCGUACCCGUCGAAGCGUCCAAGAGGUUCCUGUGCAGCUAUGCAGACACGUUGCUAAUGAUCAAACAAAAUCCGCAUGGGGACAUAGUCAAGGGGAAGCAGACGUUGGUGCUAGCUGAACUCCCGAAACAAACCAUCCGUGCUCCUUCCCUCGCUACCUCUGCAAACUGGGUGGCCCCACCAGCUGGCUAUGUCAAGCUUAACAUUGACGGACGGAUCCUUUGUCGCAGCUGA